rnacentral:rRNA from 1 species
GCUGGCGGCGUGCUUAACACAUGCAAGUCGCACGAGAACGUUUCAGCUUGCUGAAACUAGUAAAGUGGCGCACGGGUGAGUAACGCGUGGGUAAUCUACCUCCGAAUUGGGGAUAACAUUGCGAAAGCGAUGCUAAUACCGAAUGACAUCUCAACAACCCUGGUUUUUGAGAUCAAAGGUGGCCUCUCCAUGGAAGCUUCCGUUUGGAGAUGAGCCCGCGUACCAUUAGUUUGUUGGUAGGGUAAUGGCCUACCAAGGCGACGAUGGUUAGCUGGUCUGAGAGGAUGAUCAGCCACACUGGAACUGACACACGGUCCAGACUCCUACGGGAGGCAGCAGUGAGGAAUUUUGCGCAAUGGGGGAAACCCUGACGCAGCAACGCCGCGUGAGUGAUGAAGGCCUUCGGGUCGUAAAGCUCUGUCAAGUGAGAAGAAUCUGCCCGCUGCUAAUAUUAGUGGGCACUGACGGUGUCACUGAAGGAAGCACCGGCUAACUCCGUGCCAGCAGCCGCGGUAAUACGGAGGGUGCAAGCGUUAUUCGGAAUCACUGGGCGUAAAGAACGCGU